rnacentral:misc_RNA from 1 species
UUUCCGUAGGUGAACCUGCGGAAGGAUCAUUAAAGAGUAAGGGUCUUCUAGGCCCGACCUCCCAACCCUUUGUUUACCAAACCAUUGUUGCUUCGGCGGGCCCGUCCCAGGACCGCCGGAGGACCGUCAAACGUCCUCUGGCCCGCGCCCGUCGAUGGCCCCUAUCAUUAAACUCUGAACCAAACGUGUCCAGUCUGAGUGAUUAUUAUCAAAAAUUAAAGCAAAACUUUCAACAACGGAUCUCUUGGUUCUG